rnacentral:rRNA from 1 species
GUGAAAUUGUUGAAAGGGAAGCGCUUGCAGCCAGACUUGCCUGUAGUUGCUCAUCCGGGCUUUUGCCCGGUGCACUCUUCUAUAGGCAGGCCAGCAUCAGUCCCGGCGGUUGGAUAAAUGCCUGUUGAACGUACCUCUCCUCGGGGAGGACUUAUAGCUUCGGGCGGCAUACAACCAGCUGGGAUUGAGGUCCGCGCAUCUGCUAGGAUGCUGGCGUAAUGGCUGUAAGCGGCCCGUCUUGAAACACGGACCAAGGAGUCUAACAUCUAUGCGAGUGUUUGGGUGUCAAGCCCGAGCGCGUAAUGAAAGUGAACGGAGGUGGGAACCCCUCGGGGUGCACCAUCGACCGAUCCUGAUGUCUUCGGAUGGAUUUGAGUAAGAGCAUAGCUGUUGGGACCCGAAAGAUGGUGAACUAUGCCUGAAUAGGGUGAAGCCAGAGGAAACUCUGGUGGAGGCUCGCAGCGGUUCUGACGUGCAAAUCGAUCGUCAAAUUUAGGCAUAGGGGCGAAAGACUAAUCGAACUAUCUAGUAGCUGGUUCCUGCCGAAGUUUCCCUCAGGAUAGCAGUAACGUUUUCAGUUUUAUGAGGUAAAGCGAAUGAUUAGAGGCCUGGGGGUUGAAACAACCUUCACCUAUUCUCAAACUUUAAAUAUGUAAGAAGUCCUUGUUACUUAAUUGAACGUGGACAUUUGAAUGUACCGUUACUAGUGGGCCAUUUUUGGUAAGCAGAACUGGCGAUGCGGGAUGAACCGAACGCGGGGUUAAGGUGCCAGAAUGCACGCUCAUCAGACACCACAAAAGGUGUUAGUUCAUCUAG